rnacentral:ncRNA from 1 species
UUAAGUGAAAUCUUGGGGAUAAUAGGGAACCGGGUGUAAAUCCCGGGCGAUCCGGUCACUGUCAUGGUCAGCGAAGCGCAGAUUCCAUUGCCGCAAGGUGAGAAGGAGCGACGAGCGUUACGGCCUCAGCCAGGAAACCUGCUUAACU